rnacentral:rRNA from 1 species
AACGAACGCUGGCGGCAUGCCUAACACAUGCAAGUCGAACGAGACCUUCGGGUCUAGUGGCGCACGGGCGCGUAACGCGUGGGAACCUGCCCUUAGGUUCGGAAUAACUCCCCGAAAGGGGUGCUAAUACCGGAUAAUGUCUUCGGACCAAAGAUUUAUCGCCUUUGGAUGGGCCCGCGUUGGAUUAGCUAGUUGGUAGGGUAAAAGCCUACCAAGGCGACGAUCCAUAGCUGGUCUGAGAGGAUGAUCAGCCACACUGGGACUGAGACACGGCCCAGACCCCUACGGGAGGCAGCAGUGGGGAAUAUUGGACAAUGGGCGAAAGCCUGAUCCAGCAAUGCCGCGUGAGUGAUGAAGGCCUUAGGGUUGUAAAGCUCUUUUACCCGGGAUGAUAAUGACAGUACCGGGAGAAUAAGCUCCGGCUAACUCCGUG